rnacentral:rRNA from 1 species
CAAUAGCGUAUAUUUAAGUUGUUGCAGUUAAAAAGCUCGUAGUUGGAUUUCGGUUAAGAGCGACCGGUCCGCCGUUUGGUGUGCACUGGUUGGUUUUAACUUCCUGUAGAGGACGUGCUCUGGGUUUAACGACCUGGACUCGGAGUCUGCGUGGUUACUUUGAAAAAAUUAGAGUGUUCAAAGCGGGCUUACGCUUGAAUAUUUCAGCAUGGAAUAACACUAUAGGACUCCUGUCCUAUUUCGUUGGUCUCGGGACGGGAGUAAUGAUUAAGAGGAACAGUUGGGGGCAUUCGUAUUUCAUUGUCAGAGGUGAAAUUCUUGGAUUUAUGAAAGACGAACUUCUGCGAAAGCAUUUGCCAAGGAUGUUUUCAUUAA